GACGAACGCUGGCGGCGUGCUUAACACAUGCAAGUCGAACGGAAAGGCCCUGCUUUUGUGGGGUGCUCGAUUGGCGAACGGGUGAGUAACACGUGUGUAACCUGCACUUGACUGUGGGGUAACUUUUGGAAACUGGGGCUAAUACCGGAGAGGAUCUCUUGCUGCACGGUGGUGGUUGGAAAGUUUCGGCUGUUGGGUAUGGACUCGAGGGUUAUGAGCUUGAUGGUCGGGUAGUGGCGUACCAAGGCUUUGACGGGUAGCCGGCCUGAGAGGGUGACCGGCCACAUUAGGACUGCGAUACGGAGCAGACUCCUACGGGCGGCAGUGGUGGGAAACAUUGCACAGUGGGCGGACGCCUGAUGCAGCAACCCCGCGUGCGGGAUGACGGCCUUCGAGUUAUAAACCGAUUUCGACUGUACCGAAGCCUGCGUGACGGUACUGAGUCAAGAAGCACCGGCUAACUACGUG
rnacentral:rRNA from 1 species